GCAAGGACAAAUAAAAUAUGUUUCUUGUCCUCAAGGAACUUAAAAUAUAUUAAGGAAAACCGGCACGUAACACAGCUAAUGAGAUUGCAAGGCAGGAUGUGCAAAGUGAUGUCACAGAGGCAUGGUCAAGGUACAAUGGGCUCAUUCGGGGAGGCGUUUAUUUCCACUCUGCAUCAGAGCCUUCAUGUGGAAGGUGACAUCGAAACAGAAAAGGACAUCAGGAAGGCAGAAAGUCAUUUCAGGUGGCAAGGGAAUAACAUGAGUGAAGGCAGGGAAGAGGGAAAGUGGCUCAGCUGAGGCAGCUCAGAGGGAAAGUGGCUCAGCUGAGGCAGGUCAGAGAACGCAGAGACUAAGAGUAUAGCGUCUGGGGACCCACGGCCUGGGCGCAGAAACUUGGCUUUACCUCUUGUGAGCAAGUAAGUUCAUCUCUCUUGGUUUGUUUCUGCAUCUGUAAAAUGGAGCUCCGAAUGGUAGCCAUCUCACGGGGUCUUUGUGAGGAUUAAAUGAGGUGAUCUACGCAGACCCUUAGCGCAGUGUCUGGCUCACAGCAGGCCCCAGGGCAGGAUCUGGGGACAGGGUGAUACAGAGGGUGUGACCUGGGAAUGGUCUUAACUUGCAAACAACAGAGUCUCCAAGUAAUGGCUGAAUUUAGUGGCUGAAAUAGAAAAUAAUUUCCCUUUCAGUUAAGAAUCUGGAGGUAGGCAAUCCAGAGCUGUUAUGGUGGCUCCAUUCCACCAAGUCCUCAGGGCCCAGUUCCUUCUCGCUUCUGCUUCGUCAUCCCUGUGGUGUGGCCCUUGUCGUCAUAGUCCAGGAUGGCACCUCGGUCGUGACAUUCGUGUCCCAGUCGGCAGGAUGAGGCGUGCAUCCACUGUCUCUUUAGGUUCCCAGAAGCUGCCUCCGGACAUUUGCACCGGCAUCCUAUUCACUUGAAUUUGGUCACUUGGCCACACCUAGCUGCAGGGAAACAUAAUCUUUUUUUCUGGGUGGCCCUCUUUCCAGCUAAACUUUCUUUUAGUAACAGAAGAAGGGGGAAACAGACGUUGGAGGAAGCUAACAGUCUCUUACCAAGAGAGAUAAGACGGAAGCCAGAUUACAGAGGUCUUCAAGGCGGUCCACGGAAUUGGUACCUUGCUGCUCGGCUCUGUGGAGCAGUUGAUAGUCUCAGUGUAGGGAGUUCAUACGACUGGAGGCUGUUCGUGGUGAUGGGCUCUGCCGUGGUUCCUCAAACCAGCAAUACUCGCGUACUUUCAAGAGCAGCUACUUUCAAUUAAAACAAAAAUGCCCCCCUCCCAUCUUCCAACAUCCUUUGCCACUCUCCCUCCUCUUUACAGAAGGGAAGAGGCAGCUGAGGGGAGGCAGUGUGCGAAGGCAGCCCUUCCACCUGGCGGCUCUCCCUUGGACCUCCUCCAGUGGCCCCCUGGCCCUCUCGAAAUGUGCCGAGAAGAGAAAUCAUCCCCUCGGAGAGCUCUUCCUAUUAGGUGAUCCUCAGAAUUUCUUUGGCAAAUUUUUGACCAUCUGAUGGCUGGCUUGUGAGAUUAUUCCAGGUUUUUAGCUCUAGAAAAACAAAUUACAAAGAAAUGUCAACAUAAAAGACUGCAGCUAAACAUAAAAAUUUGAGUGCUCAGGAUCAGAAAUAAUAAGAUGACUGCUUUGAAAUGAGAAGAGACCCAUGAGGGGAAAAGUGGCUGUGACUGCGGACGGCGAAAAUAUAAAGGGACCACCGGAUGUGAUGUCAGCUUCUCUCAGCUCUGAUGGAGUAGCACUUAAUGUAAAUUUAAUUUGAAGUGAUGUAUGGAAGGCUUGAGGUGGUACUCCGCGAUUCCCUGACUGCCUGGAGAGCCUCUGUGGGUAGCAUCUGGAUUUGGCGGCUCCACAUGCCCGGCAGCAUCUACUAACUAGGAUUAAUGAGGUAGCCUGUUCACCAGUGAUCCAAAGGAGGUAUGCUACAUUUACUCCCAACAAUAUGAAUAGGAGGGCUAGUUUCCUUUGGGGGCACAUUGUAUGAUGAAACUUGAUGAUGGACUUGAUAUUAGGUGUAAUAAAUAUACUGUAUUGGAAGCACUUUUGCUUUGUCAAAUUUAAAUGUUAUUUAAUCAUAAAAUUGUGUUUGGUGAGCGAGUAG
ensembl:lncRNA